rnacentral:rRNA from 1 species
GACGAACGCUGGCGGCGUGCCUAAUACAUGCAAGUAGAACGCUGAAGAGAGGAGCUUGCUCUUCUUGGAUGAGUUGCGAACGGGUGAGUAACGCGUAGGUAACCUGCCUUGUAGCGGGGGAUAACUAUUGGAAACGAUAGCUAAUACCGCAUAACAAUGGAUGACACAUGUCAUUUAUUUGAAAGGGGCAAUUGCUCCACUACAAGAUGGACCUGCGUUGUAUUAGCUAGUAGGUGAGGUAAUGGCUCACCUAGGCGACGAUACAUAGCCGACCUGAGAGGGUGAUCGGCCACACUGGGGCUGAGACACGGCCCAGACUCCUACGGGAGGCAGCAGUAGGGAAGCUUCGGCAAUGGGGGCAACCCUGACCGAGCAACGCCGCGUGAGUGAAGAAGGUUUUCGGAUCGUAAAGCUCUGUUGUAAGUCAAGAACGGGUGUGAGAGUGGAAAGUUCACACUGUGACGGUAGCUUACCAGAAAGGGACGGCUAACUACGUG